CACAUUUGCAUUUAUUGAACAAGAUUUCAAGCCACGGUAUCAACUAGUGUACUAAAGGAGAUGCUCCUCAUCAGACCUGUGCUCCAGACCUCUCAACAGCUUCACUGCCCUUCUCUGGACAUGCUUGUAGAGGAUGAAAGAAUGCGCCUCUUUAAACCCCUGUGAUUCAUGAUGUUACUUCAGUAGUAGACCAUUUCACUUCAUUUCACUUCUCCAGCUUUUGAUAGGCUUCAAUGCAUUGUCUCCUGAUGUUCCUGAAAGUAUGAAGUAUUUUCUGCUAUUUCAAGGUGUUCUCUAGCCUGUCUGCUACAAUAUGAAGAAGGACUCAGUGGCAGCAUUGAAUAAUUAUUUACAGAAGAGACUGGCAAAUAAUUGUGGAACAGAGAUGCAUAAAGAAACCUUUCUAAAGGGAGCAGUGGAUCUGUUCUUAAGACUGAUGACAAUUUCCUGGCUCUCCAUGGUAUUACUCCUGUCUAAAACACUAUUCUGUAUGUCAUUUCCUACUGCAUGUUUUUCUUUACCUCAAGUCUACUCUUCCCUAGUUUUCUCAUGUAAUAAAGCACUCUAAAAUACA
rnacentral:lncRNA from 1 species